UUUUUUAUAAAAGUAAUUUAUUUGUUUAAGGUUUUAGUAUUUAGUAAAAAUUAAUUUAUAGAUUUAUAGUUUAAUAGUAUUGUAAAAGAAUUAAUUAAAUUUUUAAAAGAAUAUUUUUAGUACCUUUUGUAUCAGGGUUAAUUAAAAUUUUUAAUUUUUUUUUAAUUUCUCAAAAUUUAUAGAGUUAAUUUUAUUAUUAAUUUAUUGUGUUAUAAAUAUUUAUAAAAUAAUAUUAGUUUUGAAAUUUAAUUCGUUAUAUUAUAUUUAGUUAUUUAAGAUUUAAAUUUAAUUUAAAAUUUUAAAAGUUAUUUUGAUUUUAUAUAUUAAUAUUUUAAAUUUAAAUUAUUUUAGGGAUAAGCUUAAAAUUUUUAUAUAAUAAUUUAUUUAUUUUAAUAAUUUAUAGGAAUAGAAAUUUUUAUUUUAAGUUUGUAAAAAUUUAUUAUUUAUUUAUUUUUAAUUUAUUAUAAAUUUAUUUAUUUUUUUUAUUAAAUUUUAUUAAUUAAUAUUUAAUUUUUAGUAAUAAUGAUUAAAUUAGUAUAAUCUAUAUUUAUAAAUUAUGAAUUCGGCAAAAAUUAUUUUCAUCUGUUUAACAAAAACAUUGUAUUAAGUUUAAUUUAAUAUAGGAUCUGCUCAAUGAUUUAUUAAAUAGCUCCAGUAUUUUGACUGUGCAAAGGUAGCAUAAUAAUUAGUCUUUUAAUUGAGGACUUGUAUGAAAGAUUUGAUGAGAAAUAAACUUUAUUAUUUAUAUAAUUAAAAUUUUAUUUUUAAGUAAAAAAGCUUAAAUUAUUUAAAGGGACGAUAAGACCCUAUAAAACUUUAUAAAUAUUGAUUUUAAUUUUUUUGGAUUUAUCAAUAUUUUAACUUUAUUAUUUAUUUUAUUGGGGUGAUAAAAAAAAUUAUUAAACUUUUUUUAAAAUUUUACAUUAUUUAAUGAAUAUUUGAAUUAAAAUUUUUAAUUAAAGGACAAAGUUACUUUAGGGAUAACAGCGUAAUUAAUUUUUUAAGUUCAAAUUUAAAAAUUAGUUUGCGACCUCGAUGUUGAAUUAAGAUUAAUCUUAGGUGCAAAAUUUUAAGUAUUAGGUCUG
rnacentral:rRNA from 1 species